UACAUGCAGUCGAGCGGACAGAAGGGAGCUUGCUCCCGGAUGUUAGCGGCGGACGGGUGAGUAACACGUGGGUAACCUGCCUGUAAGACUGGGAUAACUCCGGGAAACCGGAGCUAAUACCGGAUAGUUCCUUGAACCGCAUGGUUCAAGGAUGAAAGACGGUUUCGGCUGUCACUUACAGAUGGACCCGCGGCGCAUUAGCUAGUUGGUGAGGUAACGGCUCACCAAGGCGACGAUGCGUAGCCGACCUGAGAGGGUGAUCGGCCACACUGGGACUGAGACACGGCCCAGACUCCUACGGGAGGCAGCAGUAGGGAAUCUUCCGCAAUGGACGAAAGUCUGACGGAGCAACGCCGCGUGAGUGAUGAAGGUUUUCGGAUCGUAAAGCUCUGUUGUUAGGGAAGAACAAGUGCAAGAGUAACUGCUUGCACCUUGACGGUACCUAACCAGAAAGCCACGGCUAACUACGUGCCAGCAGCCGCGGUAAUACGUAGGUGGCAAGCGUUGUCCGGAAUUAUUGGGCGUAAAGGGCUCGCAGGCGGUUUCUUAAGUCUGAUGU
rnacentral:rRNA from 1 species